CACGUAGGGGCCAAGCGUUGUCCGGAUUUAUUGGGCGUAAAGAGCUCGUAGGCGGUUCGACAAGUCGGGUGUGAAAACUCCGGGCUCAACCCGGGAGACGCCACCCGAUACUGUCGUGACUGGAGUCCGGUAGGGGAGUGGGGAAUUCCUGGUGUAGCGGUGAAAUGCGCAGAUAUCAGGAGGAACACCGGUGGCGAAGGCGCCACUCUGGGCCGGUACUGACGCUGAGGAGCGAAAGCGUGGGUAGCAAACAGG
rnacentral:rRNA from 1 species